rnacentral:rRNA from 1 species
AACAGGAUCCCUUAGUACUGCGAGUGAAGUGGGAAAAGCUCAAAUUUAAAAUCUGGCAGUUUUUAAUUGUCCGAAUUGUAAUCUAGAGAAGUAUUAUCUAUUCUGGACCAUAUAUAAGUCUCCUGGAAUGGGGCAUCAUAGAGGGUGAGAAUCCCGUCUUUAAUAUGGACUACCAGUAUGUUAUGAUAUGCUCUCAACGAGUCGAGUUGUUUGGGAAUGCAGCUCUAAAUGGGUGGUAAAUUCCAUCUAAAGCUAAAUAUUGGCGAGAGACCGAUAGUAAACAAGUACCGUGAGGGAAAGAUGAAAAGAACUUUGGAAAGAGAGUUAAAUAGUACGUGAAAUUGUUGAAAGGGAAACGCUUAAAGUCAGUCACAUUGAUCAGAGAUCAAUCUUGCUGUUUUUUGCUUGAUGUAUUUUCUGAUUGAUGGGUCAGCAUCAAUUUUGAUCAGUGGAAAAAGGCUGAGAAAAUGUGGCAUCUUCUGAUGUGUUAUAGUUCUUUGUCAUAUACAUUGAUUGGAAUUGAGGAACUCAGCAUGCCGCAAGGCCUGGUUUUAAUCAUGUUCAUGCUUAGGAUGCUGGCAUAAUGCCUUUAAUCGACUCGCC